rnacentral:rRNA from 1 species
UACGUAGGGGGCAAGCGUUGUCCGGAAUCAUUGGGCGUAAAGAGCGUGUAGGCGGCCCGGUAAGUCCGCUGUAAAAGUCAAAGGCUCAACCUUUGAAUGUCAGUGGAUACUGCCGGGCUAGAGUCCGGAAGAGGCGAGUGGAACUCCUGGUGUAGCGGUGGAAUGCGCAGAUAUCAGGAAGAACACCAACGGCGAAGGCAGCUCGCUGGGACGGUACUGACGCUGAGACGCGAAAGCGUGGGGGAGCAAACAGG